rnacentral:rRNA from 1 species
ACACCGGCGGCCCGAGUGGUGAUCGUGAUUAUUGGGUCUAAAGGGUCCGUAGCCGGUUUGGUCAGUCCUCCGGGAAAUCUGAUGGCUCAACCAUUAGGCUUUCGGGGGAUACUGCCAGGCUUGGAACCGGGAGAGGUAAGAGGUACUACAGGGGUAGGAGUGAAAUCUUGUAAUCCCUGUGAGACCACCUGUGGCGAAGGCGUCUUACCAGAACGGGUUCGACGGUGAGGGACGAAAGCUGGGGGCACGAACCGGAUUAGAUACCCGGGUAGUCCCAGCCGUAAACGAUGCUCGCUAGGUGUCAGGCAUGGCGCGACCGUGUCUGGUGCCGCAGGGAAGCCGUGAAGCGAGCCACCUGGGGAGUACGGCCGCAAGGCUGAA